rnacentral:rRNA from 1 species
AACUAUGUAAAAGGUGGCUAUGCUACCGCUUUUGGAUGGGCCCGCGGCGCAUUAGCUAGUUGGUGGGGUAAAGGCUUACCAAGGCAAUGAUGCGUAGCCGAACUGAGAGGUUGAUCGGCCACAUUGGGACUGAGACACGGCCCAAACUCCUACGGGAGGCAGCAGUAGGGAAUCUUCCACAAUGGGCGAAAGCCUGAUGGAGCAACGCCGCGUGGGUGAAGAAGGUCUUCGGAUCGUAAAACCCUGUUGUUAGAGAAGAAAGUGCGUGAGAGUAACUGUUCACGUUUCGACGGUAUCUAACCAGAAAGCCACGGCUAACUACGUGCCAGCAGCCGCGGUAAUACGUAAGUGGCAAGCGUUAUCCGGAUUUAUUGGGCGUAAA